CCCCUGAAAAAAAAUUAUUUUAAAAAUAGCCUCAGCAAAUUUAUGUUUGUAAAAAUGGCCUUAAUCCUGCCACGCACGUGCCACGUCAGCGCCAUGUGAGCGGGGUUAGGGUCAAUUUGUUAAGUUAAAUACGGUGAACCAUUCACUGCACCGUGUUUAGGAAAAAUACAAAUAUAUGUGUUGUAAAAAAAUAUAAAUAUUGAAAAGGAGGAAUAAGAGAGAGAUAAGUAUGGAAUACGGUGAACCAUUCACCGUAUUUGAACACGGUAAAUGAUUCACUGUGUUUAAUUUAACAUUCCUCCGGCUUGCGUGGCGCUGAUGUUGGCGCAUGCAUGACGGGGAUAGGGCCAAAUUUAUAAUUAUAAAUUUGAUAGGACUACUUCUUAAAAAAAAAAAAAAGAAAAUU
rnacentral:lncRNA from 1 species